CUCAUUGGUUGUUUUGUUUUCAGAAAAGUCCCUAUCAAGAACGUGUUUCCAUACAUAGAAGUUGUUAUCGGAUGAAGUCCGGCAAGCGUGCUGGUUGAAAACAACUGCGACUCCCUUCUUCUACCGGAGUUUGGAAGAAAUAUUUCUUAAUCUUUUUCUUAUUCUUAUCCACAGAAUUUCUUAUAUAUUCCGAAAAGGUGAAGGAAACAGUUUACUAGUAGUAUCCGCGUGCUAGCUGCAGAGCAGUCGGUAGCGAUUGGUGAUUCGAUUGCUAUGUGAUUAUCAGCAGGUUUAUCUUUCAUUUCAUCACGAAUUCGCAAAUCCUUACCAAUUAAUAUGGAUUAUAUGGUUUCCUCUCAAAACAAAAGACGUCUAGAUACGGAAAACUGCCAUUUCGGACCGACUAAAAAGCUGUGCAACGGCCUGGGAGUUUCUAACCAGCUCGGCUGUGCCGGAACCUUGGACUCUCCCAUGAACACCUGUGAGAUGGAGGAUCUCUGCGAAAACAACCUGUCCAACAGCAGCCGCCAUCCCAGUAUGAUGUACGCAGUGCAGAGCAGUGGCUCCGGGCAGUGUCCACGAUGUAUGGCUGGAGAAUCUGGUCACAUUAACCACAUCAUGGGCUAUUACUGAGUGCUGGAAUCAUGGGCUUUUCGGAGAAUCAAAAGUAAGGGAAGACAAAGGAUGUAGAGUGGAAAUUUAUCAGCAUAAGGGACAAUAAAUGGACAGCACUUCACCA
rnacentral:lncRNA from 1 species